GAUCCUGGCUCAGGAUGAACGCUAGCGGCAGGCUUAACACAUGCAAGUCGAGGGGGCAGCAUAAUGGUAGCAAUACUAUUGAUGGCGACCGGCGGACGGGUGCGUAACGCGUAUGCAACCUACCCUUUACAGGGGGAUAACACUGAGAAAUCGGUACUAAUACCCCAUAAUAUUCUGGGAGGCAUCUUUCGGAGUUGAAAGCUUUGGUGGUAAAAGGAUGGGCAUGCGUUGUAUUAGCUAGUUGGUAAGG
rnacentral:rRNA from 1 species